rnacentral:tRNA from 1 species
GCGCCUGUAGUCUAGUCUGGUUAGGAUACGAGGUUGCCAAUCUCGUGAGCCGGGUUCAAAUCCCGGCGGGCGCA